rnacentral:rRNA from 1 species
UACAGAGGGGCAAGCGUUAUUCGGAAUUAUUGGGCGUAAAGGGCGCGUAGGCGGCAUGGCAAGUGGAUGGUGAAAUCCCUCGGCUUAACCGAGGAACUGCCGUCCAAACUGCUUCGCUUGAGACCGGGAGAGGUGAGUGGAAUUCCCAGUGUAGCGGUGAAAUGCGUAGAUAUUGGGAGGAACGACCAGUGGCGAAGGCGGCUCACUGGACCGGUACUGACGCUGAGGCACGAA